rnacentral:rRNA from 1 species
GACGAACGCUGGCGGCGUGCUUAACACAUGCAAGUCGAACGGAAAGGCUCUGCUUUUGUGGGGUGCUCGAGUGGCGAACGGGUGAGUAACACGUGAGUAACCUGCCCUUGACUUUGGGAUAACUUCAGGAAACUGGGGCUAAUACCGGAUAGGAGCUCCUGCUGCAUGGUGGGGGUUGGAAAGUUUCGGCGGUUGGGGAUGGACUCGCGGCUUAUCAGCUUGUUGGUGGGGUAGUGGCUUACCAAGGCUUUGACGGGUAGCCGGCCUGAGAGGGUGACCUGCCACAUUGGGACUGAGAUACGGCCCAGACUCCUACGGGAGGCAGCAGUGGGGAAUAUUGCACAAUGGGCGGAAGCCUGAUGCAGCAACGCCGCGUGCGGGAUGACGGCCUUCGGGUUGUAAACCGCUUUCGCCUGUGACGAAGCGUGAGUGACGGUAAUGGGUAAAGAAGCACCGGCUAACUACGUG